GAUCAACAAAAUCCAAAACAUUUUCUGAUCAUAUACACUACCCACUGUGACCGUGGCCGUUCGAUCAGCGCCGAGGAAGCGAUCCAAACCGUUGCUCAGCUCCUUCUCGCAGAGUCGCCGUCCUCCCCUCCCCUCGCCGCCGCCGCCGCCGCCGCCGCGCCACCAAACACUCGAGCUCGCCGGACUUAGGGUUUUAGCUUCCUUGCCUCGCCGCGGCGGCCGCCGCCUGCCUAGGGGCUUAUGGUUACUGCUGCUGCCGCGGCUGCAUCGAACAACCACUAGAAGCUGGCUGCUUAGGGUUCUACUAGCUUCCUGCCUCGCCGCCGCCGCGAUGGAUGCGCUCCGGGAGGCAGAGGCCAAGCUGACCGUGUACGUGCACCCCUCCAACGCCGCCGACGUCCGCCGCGCCGUCGCCCGCCAGCUGAGCUCGCUCCUCUUCUCGUAUGAAGAUCGCUUCGAUGGCGUACUAUUGGCUCAUGAAGCAACUGUAGAGAGUGAACAAGGCAAAAUCCUGAAUGGUUUGGUACCAUACUUUGGCGUGCCCGUGCACGCAAAUCUGCUGCUUUACUCUCCGAAACCAGACAUGAUGCUGGAAGGGAAGGUUGAAAUGCUUGGAAAGGAAUCAAUACAUGCCAUUGUAUUAGGGGUAUUUUCAGCCGCCAUCAUGUUGGAUGAUAUUCAUGAGAAGUUCAAGUUCAAAAGAAAAAAGUAUGGAGGAAAAUUUGUAAGCCGGUCGGACAAACAGCACGUGAUUAAAAAGGGAAGCAUGAUACGAUUUUCUGUGAAAAGGUAUGGGCUGAUCUUUAGUCCCCUUGACAGUUUCAAAAUUUUCAUUCAUUGUUUGCUUUCCACUGUGAAACACCUUUAUUCAAAAGUUAUGGCACUUGUAUGUUACUAUAUUUGUAAUUUGUUAGUUGUAUGCAGUACUUGCUGUACGUUGUUCACGAACAUGCAUUGUUCUAGCAUGUUAGAAUUGUUUUUCCCCUGGUGUGCUUAUUAUGACAGGAGCCCUGAAAAAAGUCAUUUUGAUACAAUGGCUCUUAAGUCUAAUAAUAAAACAAUGUGAAUGGUUUUCUGAAAUACACACAUGCAUUUACAUAGCACAGCUAAUCUAUAUAGCAAAAGCUUCUUUUAGCUUCCUGUGUUAUGUACAAGAAAUGACCAGCAAUUUAUUCCCCGGUACAACUGAAUGGUUAAAUUAGGGACUAUGGGAUGAUUGGAACCAGCUAAUGUCAGGCUCCAUAUUCCGAGUGACAGAUUGAUCAUGUUCUCUUCUUUUGAUGUUCAAUCACAGGGUGGAUGCAGAAAUGAAUUGUCACGUAACUGGUUCUUUAAUCCCACCUCACACUGGAUCCAUGCUUUGGUUGUCAGUACACGAUGAUGAAUAUGCAUUGGAAAUCAACAGCGGGAAAAGGUCAAGGGAUAACAAAAUUAAAACUGAGCAGCACGAACAAGAUCACAGUGUGAAGAGUUCUGGAAGAAAACACAAGUCCAAGUCCCGAAAGAGGAGUUUUGAGGAAAGAUGAUACCGAUUUUAUGGAGCAGAUUGUUUGAGUAGAAAUUAUAGUUGAUAGCUGGGAGCUGCGUCUGCUUCCUGUGAAUAGCCACUGCAGAGAUACGCUGCUCCAGUUGAAAUAGCCUGAUUAGGAAGCUGCUUCCUGACUGUUUUACAGUGUAUUAUCAGAUGUCACCCUAAUUUUCUGUUGUACCAUCGACUGCCAUGAUGAUGUAAAACAAAUCAAGGAUUUGAUGUGUAACAUUUACCUGUUCUAAUGGAUGUUGAUCUUAUCCCAGAAA